rnacentral:rRNA from 1 species
CAGAGGGGGCAAGCGUUAUUCGGAAUUAUUGGGCGUAGAGGGCGCGUAGGCGGCUUUGCAAGUGACGGGUGAAAUCCCUCGGCUUAACCGAGGAACUGCCUGUCAGACUGCAUGGCUUGAGACCGGGAGAGGUGAGUGGAAUUCCCAGUGUAGCGGUGAAAUGCGUAGAUAUUGGGAGGAACACCAGUGGCGAAGGCGGCUCACUGGACCGGUACUGACGCUGAGGCGCGAAAGCGUGGGUAGCAAACAGGAUUAGAUACCCUGGUAGUCCACGCCGUAAACGAUGAGUGCUUGGUGUAGCGGGUAUCGACCCCUGCUGUGCCGAAGUCAACACAUUAAGCACUCCGCCUGGGGAGUACGGUCGCAAGACUG